rnacentral:rRNA from 1 species
CCGGCGACCGGCGCACGGGUGAGUAACACGUAUGGAACCUGCCCGCAGCAGGGGGAUAAGCGGAAGAAAUUCCGUCUAAUACCGCGUAACAACGUUGGGAGGCAUCUCCCGAUGUUUAAAGAUUUAUCGGCUGCGGAUGGCCAUGCGGCGCAUUAGCUAGUCGGCGGGGUAACGGCCCACCGAGGCGACGAUGCGUAGGGGUUCUGAGAGGAAGGUCCCCCACACUGGUACUGAGACACGGCCCAAACUCCUACGGAAGGCAGCAG